GACUAACGCUGACGGUAUGCCUUAUACAUGCAAGUCGAACGGAAAGGUCUUCGGACACUCAAGUGGCGGACGGGUGAGUAACACGUAGGAAUCUGCCCUUUAGAGGGGGACAACCAAGAGAAAUCUUGGCUAAUACCCCAUACGCCGAAAGGUGAAAGUAGCAAUACGCUAGAGGAGGAGCCUGCGCUUGAUUAGCUAGUUGGUGAGGUAAAAGCUCACCAAGGCGACGAUCAAUAGCUGGUCUGAGAGGAUGAUCCGCCACACUGGGACUGAGACACGGCCCAGACUCCUACGGGAGGCAGCAGUGGGGAAUAUUGGACAAUGGGCGGAAGCCUGAUCCAGCCAUGCCGCGUGUGUGAAGAAGGCCUUUUGGUUGUAAAGCACUUUAAGCGAGGAGGAGGCUCUUAAGGUUAAUACCCUUGAUGAGUGGACGUUACUCGCAGAAUAAGCACCGGCUAACUCUGUGCCAGCAGCCGCGGUAAUAC
rnacentral:rRNA from 1 species